AUGUUUUGUCGAGAGCUUUCAAA
rnacentral:miRNA from 1 species